rnacentral:rRNA from 1 species
AACGAACGCUGGCGGUAUGCCUAACACAUGCAAGUCGAACGAUGCUUUCGGGCAUAGUGGCGCACGGGUGCGUAACGCGUGGGAAUCUGCCCUUGGGUUCGGAAUAACAGUGAGAAAUUGCUGCUAAUACCGGAUGAUGUCUUCGGACCAAAGAUUUAUCGCCCAGGGAUGAGCCCGCGUAGGAUUAGCUAGUUGGUGGGGUAAUGGCCUACCAAGGCGACGAUCCUUAGCUGGUCUGAGAGGAUGAUCAGCCACACUGGGACUGAGACACGGCCCAGACUCCUACGGGAGGCAGCAGUGGGGAAUAUUGGACAAUGGGCGCAAGCCUGAUCCAGCAAUGCCGCGUGAGUGAUGAAGGCCUUAGGGUUGUAAAGCUCUUUUACCCGGGAUGAUAAUGACAGUACCGGGAGAAUAAGCUCCGGCUAACUCCGUG